rnacentral:rRNA from 1 species
UUAAGUCCGCAACGAGCGCAACCCUUGCCAUUAGUUGCUACGAAAGGGCACUCUAAUGGGGACUGCCCGGUGGACAAAACCGGAGGAAGGUGGGGAUGACGUCAAGUCCUCAUGGCCCUUAUGGGUAGGGCUACACACGUCAUACAAUGGCCGGUACAGAGGGCUGCCAACCCGCGAGGGGGGAGCCAAUCCCUACAAAACCGGUCGUAGUCCGGAUUGCAGUCUGCAACUCGACUGCAUGAAGUCGGAAUCGCUAGUAAUCGCGGAUCAGCAUGCCGCGGUGAAUACGUUCCCGGGUCUU